GGAGUGGGGGACACCGCUGCUAAACCUACUGUUUUGAGGGGGGGAGGGCGGUCGCCCAACCGUUCCUCCCUCUGGAUCCGCCACUGUGUCAGUGUUGAGCUCUCAUGCUGUCGUUACUAAGUUUCAGAUUUAGAAGCGUCGUUUGCACGGCACAUUGGGCAGACAGAGAAAAAAAAAAGUGCUGCUCCACCUCCACAAAGGAUGGAUGCACAUUGCAAGGAAGAGGAAGGGACUAGUUAGAGUAAUGAUCAGCUCAUAAACGAGAAUAAUAUUGAUGAACAAGAGAGUAAGUAGCCUACAUAGCACCAAUCACUUUUUGCAUGCACAGACAUGAUCCAAACCAUUCAUUUUCCUAGCAUAGUUUGGCAUAAGAAAUGGUUACUUAUGAAAAUAUUUGACAUAUGAUAACAUAACAUAUUGCCACUGCUUGGACUCCAUUACCUAUAUUUAUGUUGAUUAUUACCCAGCAUGAGUAAUUCAUGCCCCUGCUCAUCUGCUGAAGGAGGUGCAUCUGUCCUCUUGUGUAAGUGCUCAUCUUAUUACAGGUGUUUUAUAAUAGAUAUAUUGGAAAGUGUAUACACACAUCUAUUUUAGGCAAGCUAUAUCUUGUAGCUUCAAAUUGUACAUUGCAUGACAGCAGUUUCUAAGGCAACUACCCUUCUGCCAAGAAAAAAUAAAAAUCUAAAGUACAUGCACUGCACUUUAUGCCUCAGCCAGAUGCACUUCAAAGGCACGCCUCCCCCUGCUUUGUCAUGAAAGAGCAGAGAAGUGGGUGCGGAUAUGCCAAAUUCCUACGCACUGAUAUGUUAAUGUAUAGUGACAGAUGCACUUCGAAUAACUGUUUUGUUUCCUGUUUGUAGGGGAUGGAAGUACGAGGGGCGUUCAAGUCAAACCGGGACUUUCAGUCUCCUGAGUGUACAAAUGGCUCGGGCUACUUCUCUUUUGUAAUUUUCACACGCGACAGGCCCCCGCGUUCACGACGUGGUGGUCCAAAGUUUCUGCAAAACAGAAGACACGUGCUGGACAAGAUGGCAGACAACGAGGUGAGCGCGCACAUGGAAUAGCGAAUUGUCAUGAAGUUUCUCGGGAAUGAAGGCGUAAAGUCAUCUGAAAUUCACAGAAGACUUCAGGCUCAGUAUGGCCACGAUACACUUAGCCGCAGCAAAGCGUUUGAGUGGUGCAAACGGUUCCGAGACGGCCGUACAUCAGUGCAGGACGAUCCCGGCCGGGGUGGCUCGGAGCCCAGUGUCAGAGUUCCUGAGAACAUCCAACUUGUGCAGCGCCUGAUCCUCAAGGACCGACAGAUAAGAUGUCUCGAACUGGCUCGAAAGACGGACCUUUCUGUUUGAACGUUGAACACUAUCAUUCAUGAACAACUCUAGUUUCGGAAAGUUAGUGCACGUUGGGUCCCGAGGCAGCUCUCCGUGUUUGACCGGCAGAGAAGACUGGAAAUCUCCCAAGAGCUAAGGUACCGUUUCGACACUGAAGGACAGCCGUUCCUUGAUCGGAUCAUCACGUGCGAUGAAACGUGGGUGCACCAUUUCACUCCUGAGUCUAAACGCGCAUCAAAACAGUGGAAGCAUCCGGGCUCGCCAGCUCCCAAGAAGUUCUGAAACACCCCGUCUGCGGGUAAGGUCGUGGCCACGGUUUUCUGGGACAAGGCUGGCGUUGUUCAUGUUGAUUUUCUGCCCAGUGGUAUCACCAUCAAUAGUGUAUAUUACUGCCAGGUUCUCAGGGGUGUGCGUAAGGCGCUGAAGCAAAAGCGGCCGGGCCUCAUGACCAAAGGAGUCCUCCUCCUACAGGACAAUGCACGCCCGCAUACCGCGCAUCUCACGACAUGCACCUUACAGGAACUUGGCUGAGAGUUCCUGCCACAUCCCCCUUACAGUUCAGACCUCGCCCCCAGCGAUUUCCAUCUCUUCGGGACCUUGAAGGCGUUCCUUGGGGGCCGCCACUUCAGCUGCGACGACGAGGUCAAGAAUCCGGUCCGAUCAUGGCUGCUACGCGCCGCGGUUCCAGAGUUCUGAGGUUCCAGAGCCGGGAGCCCCCUCCGCCGUUGCCAUGCGAGCAACCAGUGAAGGCAAGCGCCGCGUCUGUUAGUGACCUUGCAUGCUCGCGCGACGCUGCCCUCCACCGCUGGACUCCUCCCGUCCCCUCCCGUGUGCCAGGCUCGCCCCCCCCCCCCCGGGAAAAUUGGCGUGCUACGCCUAUGCCUGUGGCAUCUUACCAGUUGUUUUCAUUGGAUCAUAUUAAGCACUGAAAGCUUCCUUUUUCUGUUUCUUACCAAUUUGUAUCAGAGACACAAUAAAUGUUUGUUAUUUAGA